UAGGGUUAGGGUUAGGGUUGGAGCUAGGGUUAGGGUUAGGGUUGGAGCUAGGGUUAGGGUUAGGGUUAGGAAAAUGUGAAGAUUUUCCCAAAAUCUGAAGAUUUUCCUAAGUGCGGACCCAAUUUUUCACCUUCCAGAAUUGUGUUAGGAGCACGUUUCAGGCCACGGGGAGUCCAUAGAACCUGAUUGUGGGUGAAGUUUUCGGGGGUCGGAGCUUUGCGGCAGGGAUAUAGGGAUAUGUGCCACUUUUGACAUGCCGGUUCAUUGCCUUUCCCAUCGAUGAACCGGGCUGAGAUUUGGUCUACCCCCCCAUUUUCGGGUAUGCUGAAUCUAGAAAUAGUAAUGAACCAGCGAUCGGACAUUCCUAUCAAAAGUUAUGGCGAAGUGAAAAUUUCCCAUUGAAAAUGAAUGGGAGCGGAAAAUGGCCAAAGUCAGUGUUUGCAAGUGUUGUACUUGUGUGGAACUGUUGAAAAUGCAUUGUGAGCACGUUUCAGGCCAUUUCCUGUCAUUUGAGGGCGACUUUGCAAAAAGGGGUGUCAUACCGCUUUUGACCAGAGGUGGUGCCGCACAUGUCCGACGGUUAGGGUUAGGGUGAGACUUUGGGCAAGGGGUUAGGGUUAGGGCUGGAGCUAUGGUUAGGGUUAGUUGUGGAGCUAGGGUUAGGGUUAGGGUUGGAGCUAGGGUUAGGGUUAGGGUUGGAGCUAGGGUUAGGGUUAGGGUUAGGAAAAUGUGAAGAUUAGGGUUAGGGUUAAGGGUUAGGGUUAGGGUUAGGGUUAGGGGGUUAGGGUUAGGGUUAGGGGUUAGGGUUAGGGUUAGGGUUAGGGGUUAGGGUUAGGGGUUAGGGUUAGGUUGGGGAAAGAAUCCCGUCUCCCCUAAAUUGCCCUACUUGGGUCGGCGGGGAGCGGGGAAUGCACGGGCCUACGCCCCGUCGGACACGCUCCCCAGGUCCCGAAAGGCUGGCGGCUACUUCCGCCAGCUAAACCAUAUUUGGUAUGGUGUGUAUUAAUUUGUAAUGCAGUUCAUGUAGUCAUAUUUGACUUACUCACACAUACACAAUUCAUACAUGAUCUAUAUUUGAUCUAUGUAUCCCUACAAUGUGCCUGCUGCGUCGACGUUUCGACCUAAUUUGGUCUUCUUCAGGACUGGGCACAUGUAACAGCUAAGGCUGCUGGGCCCCAAUUCAUAGGGGUGGACCAGCCAGCAGCCGAACAGAAAUGAAAAUGAAAAUGAAAAGCCCUACCCACUUUUCUCCCUUUUAUAUUCCCUCAGCUAAAAAUUAGGAUGAAUUUACUUAUAUUUAAGUUAUUUUCUGCUCUAUUUAGUUUUUGCAAUCUUAACCCUUUAUGCACCUGUUUGUGCUUUAAAUCCAUAUUAAUUAUGUUUAUUCACAUAUUUGUGCUUUAAUAAACAUAUUAAUAGGUAUAUGGUCCUGCUUGACCUUUGACCUCUGUGGCCUGCUUGGCCGUCGGUCAUUAUGUUGCCUCUAAUGGUUAGGGUUAGGGCGAGUCCCAGGUUAGGGUUAGAAUCCCAUACUAGGGUUAGGGUUAGGGUUAGAUUCCCAGGUUAGGGUUAGUGCUGGGGUUAGGGUUAGGGGUCAGCGCUAGGGUUAGGGUUAGGGUCAGCGCGAUGGUUAGGGUUAGGGCUAGAUGCCAGGCUGGGGUUAUCAUCAGCAGCCGCCCGGACUGCGAGUCGGCUGAUUUUUUGCAGGUCGGGACCCAGGGAAACGCGGCGACAGUGGACGUGGCACUGGCUGGAUAGGUUGGGGAAAGAAUCCCGUCUCCCCUAAAUUGCCCUACUUGGGUCGGCGGGGAGCGGGGAAUGCACGGGCCUACGCCCCGUCGGACACGCUCCCCAGGUCCCGAAAGGCUGGCGGCUACUUCCGCCAGCUAAACCAUAUUUGGUAUGGUGUGUAUUAAUUUGUAAUGCAGUUCAUGUAGUCAUAUUUGACUUACUCACACAUACACAAUUCAUACAUGAUCUAUAUUUGAUCUAUGUAUCCCUACAAUGUGCCUGCUGCGUCGACGUUUCGACCUAAUUUGGUCUUCUUCAGGACUGGGCACAUGUAACAGCUAAGGCUGCUGGGCCCCAAUUCAUAGGGGUGGAGCAGCCAGCAGCCGAACAGAAAUGAAAAUGAAAAUGAAAAGCCCUACCCACUUUUCUCCCUUUUAUAUUCCCUCAGCUAAAAAUUAGGAUGAAUUUACUUAUAUUUAAGUUAUUUUCUGCUCUAUUUAGUUUUUGCAAUCUUAACCCUUUAUGCACCUGUUUGUGCUUUAAAUCCAUAUUAAUUAUGUUUAUUCACAUAUUUGUGCUUUAAUAAACAUAUUAAUAGGUAUAUGGUCCUGCUUGACCUUUGACCUCUGUGGCCUGCUUGGCCGUCGGUCAUUAUGUUGCCUCUAAUGGUUAGGGUUAGGGCGAGUCCCAGGUUAGGGUUAGAAUCCCAUACUAGGGUUAGGGUUAGGGUUAGAUUCCCAGGUUAGGGUUAGUGCUGGGGUUAGGGUUA